rnacentral:ncRNA from 1 species
UUGCCUGACGCUAUCGCUGCUCCCGCGUUUCGGUAACGGGAAUGCGGUUUGAUUCCGCAGCUGUCCCUGCAACUGUAAGCGGUGAGUAUGCGGUGUGCGCCCCUUCAGCAGGGGCAGCCACUGGGGGCUUUCGGGCCUCCGGGAAGGCGAGCGCCGGAUGCGUUGAUCCGUGAGCCAGGAGACCGACCGGGGCGUGUCGCUCUUU